rnacentral:lncRNA from 10 species
UGUUGCUUCAAUGCAGGUACCACUAUCACUACCACCACCAUCUGCACUGCUAUCACCACCAGCAACACAGUCACCACCUCCAUCAUCACCCUAUAACACCAUCACUACCACCACCAUCCGAACUGCCACCACCACCAACACAGUCACCACCAUCACCCUAUAACACCGUCACUACCACCGCCAUCUGAACUGCCACCACCACCAACAUAGUCACCACCUCCAUCAUGACCCUAUAACACCAUCACUACCACCGCCAUCUGAACUGCCACCACCACCACCAACACAGUCACCACCAUCACCCUAUAACACCAUCACUACCACUGCCAUCUGAACUGCCACUACCACCACCAAUACAGUCACCACCAUCACCCUAUAACACCGUCACUACCACCACCAUCUGAACUGCCACCACCACCACCAACAGUCACCACCUCCAUCAUCACCCUAUAACACCGUCACUACCACCACCAUCUGAACUGCCACCACCAA